CCAAUAGCGUAUAUUAAAGUUGUUGCAGUUAAAAAGCUCGUAGUUGAAUUUCGGGAUUAGUACGCUGGUCGUGCCUUCGGUGCGUACUGGCGUUACUGAUUUCUACCUUCUGACGAACCAUUAUGUUAUUAAUUUGACGUGGCAGGGAAUCAGGACUGUUACUUUGAAAAAAUUAGAGUGUUUAAAGCAGGCUCGUGCUUGAAUACAUUAGCAUGGAAUAAUGAAAUAGGACGUUGAUCCUAUUUUGUUGGUUUCUAGGAUUGACGUAAUGAUUAAUAGGGAUAGUUGGGGGCAUUAGUAUUCAAUUGUCAGAGGUGAAAUUCUUGGAUUUAUUGAAGACUAACUACUGCGAAAGCAUUUGCCAAGGAUGUUUUCAUUAAUCAAGAACAAAAGUUAGGGAUCGAAGACGAUCAGAUACUGUCGUAGUCUUAACCAUAAACUAUGCCAACUAGGGAUCGGAUGAUGUUAUUUUUAAUGACUCAUUCGGCACCUUACGGGAAACCAAAGUGUUUGGGUU
rnacentral:rRNA from 1 species